UAGCGACAGGCCUAACACAUGCAAGUCGAGGGGCAGCACAAGGAGCAAUCUGAGGUGGCGACCGGCGCACGGGUGAGUAACACGUAUGCAACCUGCCUGUAAGCGGGGAAUAACCCGUUGAAAGACGGACUAAUACCGCAUAAUACUAAAUUACUGCAUGGUAAUUUAUUUAAACAUUUAUGGCUUACAGAUGGGCAUGCGCAUGAUUAGCUAGUUGGAGAGGUAACGGCUCCCCAAGGCAACGAUCAUUAGGGGUUCUGAGAGGAAGGUCCCCCACACUGGUACUGAGACGCGGACCAGACUCCUACGGGAGGCAGCAGUGAGGAAUAUUGGUCAAUGGACGAGAGUCUGAACCAGCCAAGUCGCGUGCAGGAAGAAUGUUCCCUAUGGAUUGUAAACUGCUUUUGCAGGGGAAUAAAGUGCAUCACGUGUGAUGUUUUGUAUGUACUCUGCGAAUAAGGAUCGGCUAACUCCGUGCCAGCCGCAGC
rnacentral:rRNA from 1 species